rnacentral:rRNA from 1 species
UACGGGGGGGGCAAGCGUUGUUCGGAAUUACUGGGCGUAAAGGGCCCGUAGGCGGCCGAUUAAGUCCGACGUGAAAUCCCCAGGCUUAACCUGGGAACUGCGUCGGAUACUGAUUGGCUUGAAUUCGGGAGAGGGAUGCAGAAUUCCAGGUGUAGCGGUGAAAUGCGUAGAUAUCUGGAGGAAUACCGGUGGCGAAGGCGGCAUCCUGGACCGACAUUGACGCUGAACGGCGAAAGCUAGGGGAGCAAACGGG